AUUCUGGCUCAGGAUGAACGCUAGCGACAGGCCUAACACAUGCAAGUCGAGGGGCAGCGCGGGAGAAGCUUGCUUUCCUGGCGGCGACCGGCGCACGGGUGCGUAACAGGUGUGCAAUCUGUCCAUAGUCGGGGGAUAGCCCAGCGAAAGCUGAAUUAAUACUCCAUGUGAAUCGAAGCCGCAUGACUUUGAUUUGAAACGCAAGGACUAUGGGUGAGCACGCUUCUGAUUAGAUAGUUGGUGGGGUAACGGCUCACCAAGUCGACGAUCAGUAGGGUUCUGAGAGGAAGGUCCCCCACAUUGGAACUGAGACACGGUCCAAACUCCUACGGGAGGCAGCAGUGAGGAAUAUUGGUCAAUGGGCGAGAGCCUGAACCAGCCAAGUCGCGUGAAGGAUGAAGGUUCUAUGGAUUGUAAACUUCUUUUGUCCGAGGGUAAAAAAGGCCACGUGUGGCUUCUUGCAAGUAUCGGACGAAUAAGCAUCGGCUAACUCCGUGCCAGCCGCGGC
rnacentral:rRNA from 1 species